AAUGCUCUAACGGGGUGCCGGAUGCGACGUUUCGCAUACCGGCUGAGAGGCAGAUCGCCAACCCGCAGAACCUGAUCCGGUUUGCACCGGCGGAGGGAUUAGAUGCCUCGGACGC
rnacentral:ncRNA from 2 species